UCCCUGGUAUUCUAGUGGCUAAGACUCUGCACUUCCAAUGCAGGGGACCUGGGUACAAUCCCCAAAGCAGGGGGCUCAGGUUCGAUCCCUGGCCAGGAAA
rnacentral:tRNA from 1 species